rnacentral:rRNA from 1 species
AAUAUUGGACAAUGGGGGAAACCCUGAUGCAGCAACGCCGCGCGAGCUAUGAAGGCCUUCGGGUCGUCCCGCUCUGUCCUAAGCGAAGAUAAUGACGGUACCUUGGGAGGAAGCCCCGGCUAACUACGUGCCUGCAGCCGCGGUAAUACGUAGGGGGCAAGCGUUAUCCGGAAUCAGUGGGCGUAAAGGGUGCGUAGGCUGCCCUAUAGGUCAGAGGUCAAAGGCUACGGCUCAACCGUAGUAAGCCUUUGAAACUGUAGGGCUUGAGUGCAGGAGAGGAGAGUGGAAUUCCUAGUGUAGCGGUGAAAUGCGUAGAUAUUAGGAGGAACACCAGUGGCGAAGGCGACUCUCUGGACUGCAACUGACGCUGAGGCACGAAAGCGUGGGUAGCGAACA